rnacentral:rRNA from 1 species
UACGAAGGGGGCUAGCGUUGCUCGGAAUCACUGGGCGUAAAGGGUGCGUAGGCGGGUCUUUAAGUCAGGGGUGAAAUCCUGGAGCUCAACUCCAGAACUGCCUUUGAUACUGAAGAUCUUGAGUUCGGGAGAGGUGAGUGGAACUGCGAGUGUAGAGGUGAAAUUCGUAGAUAUUCGCAAGAACACCAGUGGCGAAGGCGGCUCACUGGCCCGAUACUGACGCUGAGGCACGAAAGCGUGGGGAGCAAGCA